GCACAGCGAUAAGAGCCAUUAGGUGAAAAGAAAAGACAGAGCAGGCCUGGAGGGGCUGAUUUGUUGUCCUACGUGAAAACCACGUGAGACAGGAGUGCUGCGUGCUGCCAGGUGUACAGUCAGCAGAACCAACGGUGGACAACAGCAGUGUCCAUUUAGGACAGAGUGAACAGAUGGGAGAGGUGGACAGAUGGACCAGAGGGAGGACGGACAGACAUAAAGACUGUAGAUGUCGUCCAGCCAGGCCAAGUCGUGUUGGGAGAACAUCAGGUCCAGCAGCUUCCGGACGACCAUCAGACCCAGGAUCUACAUGCGGAGGAAAGACUGAAGAUCACACAGGUCCACUUCAGAGUCCCGGUGUUCCAGUCCACUGCAAAACUAUUACACACUCACCAUCACUGGGAAGAUGAUGGCGAGGAAGGUGGACUUCAGGAUCCAGAGGACAGCCAAACAGACCAUCUGGACGAGGGUGAAGAGAUGGACGCGUCUCAGAGGGACGUGACGCAGGAAGGAGAAGUCUGGCUGGUGUUUGGCGGGCAUCAGAUACAACUUGAUCCGCUCCCAGAACUGGACAGAACCAUAGAGAACAGCUCCUCAGACUCACGCAGGCGGCCAAGGCUGCUUGACUGCCGAGAGCGUAGGUCUUCUGUGGAGCGGUGGAUCCCAGAAGCUGAACUAGUGCUACGAUUCAGAUUAACCUGAGGACUACGAUCUGACAGAGCAGCAGCAGCAGCAGCAGCAGAUGUGAGAAGCACAGAAGACGUGAUUGUAUGAGGAAAGGCGAAACAGCUGGUCAUCAACAAGGAAGCAUUAGGAUGUAAUCAGAAGGUGGGAUUACUUUGGUGCUGAUUGGUGGUUGAAGACGGGUGUUAGCGGUGUACAAACUUACUGGAAGCAGCGUUGGAGGACUUUCCGAUGUCCGCCAGCGAGCGGUGGAUUGGUUUCUUGGUCUGGUGGCGAUGCUUCCUGAGCAGCACGAAGCUGAUCUUCUCCUUCAGAUCCGGAGGAAUGAGACCAUCAGCUAUCUGCCGAUCCACAAUGUCAUCUGGAGUAAAAGUUUACAGCUGAAUUUACAUGCAUGGACUCAACCGUUCAGCACAAGGCGAGUAACAAUAUUUUACCAGGUUUACAGCGACUGUCCAACUGUCAGGCACUCAAAACAAUAAACAACAACAAACGCUGGAUUUCGUCCCGAAUCUUUGUUUGCUGCAAAAUUCAAGUGGAUUUUCAUGGAGUAUGAAAGGUGGGAAUGCAGUGGUAGCACUCUGAGCUGUAUGGUUGGUGCGCUCGGCAGGACCGGUGGAGAAACUCUGCUGGACUCACCCACGAUCUGCGGCAGCGAGUAGCCCUCCAGGUC